rnacentral:lncRNA from 10 species
CUUCCAGUUCAUAAUACAUUGGGAGGCUUAUUAAGGAAAAGUAAGACUCAGGGUCAAGAUGGAACACCUCAAAUCACAGAUUACUAGGACUGAAGAGGAAUUUAAGAAGCUUCUAUUUCAACCUCCCUUCCUCAGGGACUGAGAUAACCACGGCACUUACAUGGGAUCUUCAAGAAAGAUUGAUUGACCAGCUGAUUUUAAUGCAUACUUAUUUAGCUUAAUUGGUAAAUGUCUUCAUAGCUGUUUGAAAAAGGACUUAUUUUUCAAUCAGUGUGUUUUGCAACAUACCACACAUACACACACAUAAGUCAACCACCACUCAUACCCCAAAAGAAACAAGAACCCCCAGUACAUAUUACAGGCCUUCUUCAACCUAAGGGUUGUAGAAGUUUGCCAUCUACUGACUUUUUGCUGAAGUAUUUUGUUCUCCAUGAAAUAUUGCUAAUAAUUAUAAAUCAAUGCCAGUACAUAGAUUGAGUUCUGUAGCCUUUUGCAACUAUUUUCCAAUAAGAUGUAAAUUUUUUCUUUUUUCUUAAAAAAAAACUAUAGGUAAAACAGCAACUCAAAGUACUUUAUAUAUAUGUGUGUGUAUAUAUAUAUUUAUACGUGU